GGUGGGGACGCUUUCCCUGUCUAGAGCAGCUCGGCCUUCUCCUGGGAGAAGGAUGAUGUCCUUGGGAGAGGCCAGCCUGUGAGGCAUGACUUGGUGGAGAGCUACAAAGCAGAGGGAAGGGACUUCYAGAAAUGACCUGGGACGCUUGACUCCGCCGUGACAGCAGUGAUUCUAGUGUGCUCGUUUUCACCAGGCUGAUGCAAGGUCUGUGAACAUCACACGUGAAGCUCCAGCUGCUUCAGCCUGCUCUUCACGUGUGCGUGAACCUGGACUAAGCUCAUUACUCUUUGCUUAAGAAAGACACCUUCUGCUCGCUUGUGUGUGCCCCCACUCAAGCAGGGUAAGAGGCAGCGAAUAUGAUCCUUUGAGCAAUCAUUUUAGAAAACAGCUUUUUGGCAAAAUGUAUGGGGGCCAAUUUGUCAGCAGAACRCAGGGGACGGAUAUUUGUGAAAGAAAAUGGGCUGCUGGGACCCACCAGACGCUGUCUGUGGGCAUUUUCCCCAUUGAUUGCUUGUUUUCUUGCAGUAUUUGGAGGUUUCUGGGCUAGGUUCCCACAGCUCGAAGUGCCAUCCAUACCUGUCCCAAACAGCUGCCAAGCUACAUUUAUCAGACUGCAUUUUGCAUUCCUGGUCUGGAAACUUAAAAAUCAGGUUUCCCCCAGAAAUUCCAUGGGGACAUGGGUAGAAGGAAAGUAGCCUUCUGUUCACUUUGCACAGCCUUUCAUUAAGUUCUUUUAAACAACCUGCCAUCACAUCUCUACAUGUCCAGCAAAGCAGCCGCACGGGCUCCCCAGGUGCCUCCGUUUGGGUUCUUGCCACGCGAGGUCUCCUCGGAGGUGGUGGUUGUUUCUACUUGGCCAUCGACUCCCUCUGUGCUUGAAGAGCAAGACAGGGAAAUAGCAGCAAGUGUGAUUAGGGCUUUAUUGUGAGCUCCUCAGAUCUCUAUUUUCUGUGGUGAACAAUGUCCUGGAGCGGCUGGGAGCUGCACCCCACGAACCUUUCACAGUGAAUUUUUUCAAAGCACUGAAUAAGGGAGGCAAUCAGCCCCUCCUGGGUCUGGAGAGGAUGUGGGUGUUGAUGCCUGCUGUGCCUUUGAGACCUCUCCCCUUGGCAGCCUGCUUUCUUCAGGAAUUGAGGCUAACGUGAAGGCUCUGUCACCGCUGCCACCUGCUUUGAACCACACCUGAAYGGUCUCAGAUGUUUCCUAGAACAGUCUAGGCUUUCUUCUGAAGCGGAGCUACCACUGCCUCUGCCCAGGGUAAGCCAAUAUUCUUCGGGUUUGGAAGCAAACCUUUGCUUCCCUACCAAGCAUCUGGCUGAUAUCUUGAAGCUCACGCGCACGAGUCACUCCUUGAGACWUAGCAAUGUUUGCUCACAUGGACUUUUUUUCCUCCUUCCUUGUGGUGUGAGGCAUCAGCAAGAACUUGACUCUGAAUUAACGUUCUUUGAAUCCAAAGAGAUGGACACUGUAUCCUGGUCUGAGCGAUCUUAGGGCACUGAGAUCCUGGUCU